GACGGGGGGGGCAAGUGUUCUUCGGAAUGACUGGGCGUAAAGGGUGUGUAGGUGGUUUAAUAAGUUAGGUGUGAAAGUCCUGGGCUUAACCUGGGGAGGUCGCUUAAGACUGUUAAGCUAGAGUACUGUAGAGGAAAGUGGAAUUUCCGGUGUAGCAGUGAAAUGCGUAGAUAUCGGAAGGAACAUCAGUGGCGAAGGCGACUUUCUGGACAGAUACUGACACUGAGACACGAAAGCGUGGGGAGCAAACAGG
rnacentral:rRNA from 1 species